ACUCAUCUCUUUUUCAUCUCCUCUCCAUAAAACUGAAGCCCUGAUGAACUUCAUCUCUUUCAAUCUGAAUCCACUAAAAUCAACAACCAGGUUACUUAAAACCCUAAGAAGACGAUCCCACUUCGUGCUUCUCUUUCGCCUCCACCUUCUCACUUUCUUGUUCUUAUCUUUCUCCCCCCCCCUUGUCACUUUUUUCUGAUUUUCUUUCGAGAAUCAUAAAUCAUCAACAUCAUCAUUUACUCUUUGGAGAACCCACCACCAUUAGCAGCACCAUCAACAACAUCAUAUUCUCAUGAUUUCUUUCUCUCUCUCAACCGAAGACUCUAACUCUUCCAACAGAGGAGUUUUGUUAAAAUUUGCAGUGGGUAAUUAGUAGUAUGGAUUGCAGCAAUAAGGCAGCGUAUCAAUAAAGAUGUAGAUGAAGUAUGCGGUAUGUUUAGACAUCUUAAAAUCAGUAGCAUUUAUAGGUGGUGUGAUUGAACAAUGUAGACCCUAAUGGUAAGAGGGAGGCGGUUCCCAUGUCGAGGUAUAAGAGCCAACGAAGAGAUGGAAGAUUCCACUGUGGAGGUUACUAAUGAAAACCUGGAAGCCCAACGACGAUUUCAACGUGAUGUUUGUUUUGUUCAAUUCAAUCUCUCUACUGGCUCUGUGAUUAGGCAUCUAUGUUUUUUGCAAGUUAUAGAAACACAAUAGCAUAAGUGAAUGAUGUGGUUUGCUGCCUGGAUUUUAUUUUUGUCUAGUUCAUUUUAAAAUUGUUCGUUAAUCAACUAGGAAAGCUAGAGCAAGCAAUUGAGCAUCUUACAGAGGCAAUUAUGCUGAACUCAACAUCUUCAAUUAUAUAUGCAACUAGAGGUAAUUUGCGUUUUUAA